ACGAACGCUGGCGGCGUGCCUAAUGCAUGCAAGUCGUACGCUUCACCUUCGGGUGCGGCGUGGCGCACGGCUGAGGAACACGUGGGCACCUGCCCCUCGGUGGGGGAUAACCCCGCGAAAAGCGGGGCUAAUCCCGCAUACGCUUCUCUCCUGAUGAAGGCGAGACGGAAAGCAGCGAUGCGCCGAGGGAAGGGGCCUGCGGCCCAUCAGGUUGUCGGUGGGGGUAACGGCCUACCGAGCCGAUGGACGGGUAGCUGGUCUGUGAGGACAACCAGCCAGACUGGGACUGAGAUACGGCCCAGACUCCUACGGGAGGCAGCAGCAAGGAAUUUUCCCCCAAUGGGCGAAAGCCUGAGGGAGCAACGCCGCGUGCAGGACGACGGCCUUCGGGUUGUAAAACUGCUUUUGGGAGGGACGACGAUGACGGUACCUCCCGAACAAGCCUCGGCUAACUACGUGCCAGCAGCCGCGGUAAUACGUAGGAGGCAAGCGUUGUCCGGACUGACUGGGCGUAAAGCGCGCGCAGGCGGUGCGGGGCGUCGGUGCUGAAAUCGGGCCGCUUAACGGCCCGUGGCGUGCCGAUACGCCCGUACUGGAGGGUGGGCGAGGGUGGUGGAAUUGCCGGUUGUAGUGGUGAAAUGCGUAGAGGAUCGGCAGGAACACCCGUGGCGCAAGCGGCCACCUAGCCCAUACCUGACGCUGAUGCGCGACAGCGUGGGGAGCGAACUGGAUUAGAUACCCAGGUAGUCCACGCCGUAAACGAUGCCGACUCGGUAUCCGGCUGUCGAAUAGACGGCGGGGUGCCCCAGCUUACGCGGUAAGUCGGCCGCCUGGGGACUACGAGCGCAAGCUUAAAAACUCAAAGGAAUUGACGGGGGCCCGCACAAGCAGCGGAGCGUGUGGUUUAAUUCGACGCAACACGAAGCACCUUACCCAGACUUGACAUGCGACUGCAAGCCGUGGAAACACGGUCGCCUUUGAGGGUGUCGCACCGGUGCUGCAUGGCUGUCGUCAGCUCGUGUCGUGAGAUGUUGGGUUAAGUCCCGCAACGAGCGCAACCCCUACCGUCAGUUACAAGUGUCUGACGGGACUGCCCUUCGGGGAGGAAGGCGGGGAUGAAGUCAAGGUCCGCAUGGCCCUGACGUCUGGGGCAACACACACGCUACAAAUGGCGCCGACAGUGGCGCAGCGACCUGGCAAACGGGAAGCGAAUCGCCAAACGGCGCCCCAGUGCAGAUCGGGGGCUGCAACUCGCCCCCGUGAAGGCGGAGUUGCUAGUAACCGCGUUAUCAGCGAUGGCGCGGUGAAUACGUACCCGGGCCUUGUACACACCGCCCCGUCACGUCAUGGGGAGUUGCCAAGGCCUGAAGUCCGUGGGCUGACCCGCCGCAAGGUGGGGGGCAGCGGCCGAGGGCCGGGGGAGCGACUGGGACG
rnacentral:rRNA from 1 species